rnacentral:tRNA from 1 species
GGAGAGGUGACCGAGAGGUCGAAGGUGCCUGACUCGAAAUCAGGUGACCCGCAAGGGUCCGUGGGUUCGAAUCCCACCCUCUCCGCCA